AGGUAUAUAGUUUACAUUUGAGAUAUACUCUUGUUCACCACUCUUCUAUUUAAACAUGAUUUUUUCUUUUUCUUUCAUAGGUACUUUGAUAAAUCAUCAAAUUUUAUAUUAUUAUGUACAUCCUCCUUCAUUUCAACAAAUAGUUCUUUUUUACCACAUAUAUGAAUCAAGAAACCAUAUGUUUUAUGGAUCUUCAACAGCUUCUUGGCAUGUGAGUAGAAG
rnacentral:lncRNA from 1 species